rnacentral:rRNA from 1 species
GACGAACGCUGGCGGCGUGCUUAACACAUGCAAGUCGAACGAAGAGCGAUGGAAGCUUGCUUCUAUCAAUCUUAGUGGCGAACGGGUGAGUAACGCGUAAUCAACCUGCCCUUCAGAGGGGGACAACAGCUGGAAACGACUUCUAAUACCGCAUACGAUCUCACCUCGGCAUCGAGGAUAGAUGAAAGGUGGCCUCUAUUUAUAAGCUAUCACUGAAGGAGGGGAUUGCGUCUGAUUAGCUAGUUGGAGGGGUAACGGCCCACCAAGGCGAUGAUCAGUAGACGGUCUGAGAGGCUGAACGGCCACGUUGGGAGUGAGACACGGCCCAGACUACUAGGGGAGGCAGCAGUGGGGAAUCUUUAGCAAUGGAAGAAAGUCUGAAGGAGCAACGCCGCGCGAGUGAUGAAGGCCGUCGGGUUGUAAAGCUCUGUUAAUCGGGACGAAAGGACUUCUUGCGAAUAGGUAGAAGGAUUGACGGUACCGGAAGAGAAAGCCACGGCUAACUACGUG